rnacentral:rRNA from 1 species
GAUGAACGCUGGCGGCGUGCCUAAUACAUGCAAGUCGAGCGAAGCGGGGACGGGGGAGUAACACGUGGAUAACCCCCUAUAUGACUGGGAAAACUUCGGGAAACCGGUGCUUAACCCGACACUUAUACAUGGUUCUGCGCUGCAUUAGCUAGUUGGUAAGGUAACGGCUUACCAAGGCAACGAUGCCUAGCCGACCUGAGAGGGUGAUCGGCCACACUGGAACUGAGACACGGUCCAGACUCCUACGGGAGGCAGCAGUGGGGAAUCUUCCGCAAUGGGCGAAAGCCUGACGGAGCAACGCCGCGUGAGUGAUGAAGGUCUUCGGAUCGUAAAACUCUGUUAUUAGGGAAGCGGUACCUAAUCAGAAAGCAACGGCUAACUCCGUGCCAGCAGCCGCGGUAAUUC